GGCGAAACAACGUCUGGAGGGGGAGAAAUCGUGCUCGCAUAGCACAUAUUAACCCUAAUUUAUUUUGUCUCAGUGAUUGUGUUUGUCGUAUUUUCCUGUCAUUAUUUGUUAUGGCUGGUGUUAAGGAUAAUUCUCUUCAAGCACAUUGGAAAACACAUUGUCCGAAAUUGGGGAGAGCACAUAAGAAGAAUUUUAGGGGGCCAUCGUCCAAUGUUGUUGCUUCUGCUCCUCCUACCAUUGGCUUUAGUUCUGGUUCUGUAUACUCAUAUGAGACUGCU
rnacentral:lncRNA from 1 species